UACGUAGGUGGCAAGCGUUGUCCGGAAUUAUUGGGCGUAAAGCGCGCGCAGGCGGUCCUUUAAGUCAGUGCUGAAAUACUCCAGCUUAACUGGAGGGGUGGCAUUGAUACUGGAAGACUUGAGUAUAGUUGAGGUAGGCGGAAUUGACGGUGUAGCGGUGAAAUGCUUAGAUAUCGUCAAGAACACCGAUAGUGAAGACAGCUUACUAAACUAUAACUGACGCUGAGGCACGAAAGUGUGGGGAUCAAACAGG
rnacentral:rRNA from 1 species